AAGACCCAGUUGAAAUGCUGUAAAGUGAAAGCCAGACCAAUUAAAAACUUCUGAGCUAUGCGAAUACUGGAUUUGUGUUCGUACAUCGUCGUCGCUCUCUUCAGAUUUCUGCAACAGAAAGACAAGCAGAGAGUUAAUUAGAGAGAGAUAAUCUCCU